rnacentral:lncRNA from 1 species
GCCCCAUGUGCCACGCUCUAAGUCGGAGGCUGUGUCCUCAGGUGACAUUGUCUGCAGGGGGAUCUGAGCCCGAUGUGGCCACCAGGGCCGUUUCCUCACCUCCAUAACCCUCCUUAAGAUGCUCCAGAAAUAAGAUUGGUUUUUUGUUUGUUUCUUUGUUUUGUCUUUUAGGGCCGCAUACAUGGCAUCUGGAUGUUCCCAGGCUAGGGGGGUCUAAUCAGAGCCGCAGCUGCCGGCCUACACCACCGUUCAUGGCACCACCGGAUCCUUAACCCACUGAUUGAGACCAGGGAUUGAACCUGCAUCCUCACGGAUAUUAGUCAGAUUCAUUUCCUCUGAGCCACAAUGGGAACUCCCCAGAAAUAAGGUUCCUAAAGUCACCUGGUUGGAUAGCAGAAGAUCAGACCUCUUAAAUCCGGGGUAACGGUUUUUGAAAUAAGAUGGACAUCACCAUAAAGGGAACUUGAGUAAUGGUGCAGCCCUGCACAGUCCAGGAGGCCUGAGUUUGGGGGCUGUUUCUAUGCUGCAGACUUUUAGUGGGGCCUCCCACGCAGACGCCUGGCCCCCAGCCCUGGCCUCUCCCUCCAUCGGUCAGCCCUUCGGAGCUGCAGUUCCUCCAGAUAGAACCAGCGGGAGGCUCUGUCUGGACCAGAGCUUCCUGACCAUCCACACCCUGGAGGAGAAAACCACCAAUGGGACUGACCGCUUGGAACUCUGUUCUAACUGCACACAGCUGGGCUGGCACCAACCAGAGCCCGCUCUCCCUCUGCCACCCAGCGGAGAAGAAGUGGGAGGGCUGGUGGUCCAAGGCCACGAGGCUCCACUCAGAAGCUUUAGGGGAGGAGUUCCCGUCGUGGCGCAGUGGUUAACGAAUCCGACUAGGAACCAUGAGGUUGCAGGUUCGGUCCCUGCCCUUGCUUAGUGGGUUAAUGAUCCAGCGUUGCCGUGAGCUGUGGUGUAGGUUGCAGAUGCGGCUCGGAUCCCGCGUUGCUGUGGCUCUGGCGUAGGCCGGUGGCUACAGCUCCGAUUAGACCCCUAGCCUGGGAACCUCCAUAUGCCGCGGCAGCGGCCCAAAGAAAUAGCAAAAA